rnacentral:rRNA from 1 species
UACGUAGGUGGCAAGCGUUGUCCGGAAUUAUUGGGCGUAAAGCGCGCGCAGGCGGUCUUUUAAGUCUGAUGUGAAAGCCCCCGGCUCAACCGGGGAGGGUCAUUGGAAACUGGGAGACUUGAGUGCAGAAGAGAAGAGUGGAAUUCCACGUGUAGCGGUGAAAUGCGCAGAUAUCAGGAAGAACACCCGUGGCGAAGGCGGCUCUCUGGGACGGUACUGACGCUGAGACGCGAAAGCGUGGGGAGCGAACAGG